rnacentral:rRNA from 1 species
GUCGAGGAUCUUUUGCAAUGCGCGAAAGCGUGACAAAGCGACGCUGCGUGGAGGAUUAAGGCCUUCGGGUUGUAAACUCCUGUCGUCCGGGAACAAUGGCGGGCGGGUGAAUAUCCCGUCCGAGUGAGAGUACCGGAAGAGGAAGCCACGGCAAACUCUGUGCCAGCAGCCGCGGUAACACAGAGGUGGCGAGCGUUGUUCGGAUUUACUGGGCGUAAAGGGUGCGUAGGCGGUUCCGUGUGUCGAACGUGAAAUCCCACCGCUCAACGGUGGAACUGCAUUCGAAACUGCGGGGCUAGAGUUCAGGCGGGGAGAGCGGAAUUCCUGGUGUAGCGGUGAAAUGCGUUGAGAUCAGGAAGAACACCGGUGGCGAAGGCGGCUCUCUGGAAUGAUACUGACGCUGAGGCACGAAAGCUGGGGGAGCAAACAGGAUUAGAUACCCUGGUAGUCC